GUUUUCCCACCCGCAGCAUCUCUGUGUGCACUCUCUGCCUGGAGAGCGAAGACGACAGUUUCUGUCUGAAGUUUGUUGCAUUAACAGGUAGAUUUAUUACAUAAUAUAUCAGUUGUUAAACCGCAGAAUUACUAAUUUGGAAGUUUGUUUAUGUAUUUCUUUGGUUAAUGAUUUGCUGUCGGUGUUCUAAAAGUGCUAACAAGUUAGCAAGCAAACAGCAACAAAAUAUCCAGAUUAUUAUCGUUACAAUGCAUUAAAUGUUCCCGGUCAGAUCUAAGUUAACAUAAACACUACAUUUGCUGUUGUUGGCACACUUUGUAGACAAAAAAUACCAAAAACACCAAUGGCUUCACAAAAUAAAGACAGAGAACGGAAAGAGAGGCUGCUAAAGGCAGUUCAACAUUGCAAACAUUAAUUCAAAGCUCCAUCAAGCCAGCAGAUUCUGCACUUGGAAAAGCUUGAAGAAGUGAUACUGGAUAGAAACCAGCUCACCGUGCUUCCUAGCAACAUUGGAUCAUUAAAACACCUGACCUACCUGAGUGUAAACCACAACCCACUGUCUGUUCUCCCAGAGGCAAUAGGUGACCUGGAAAAACUGAGAGAGCUCUGGGCCGUAGGAUGCGGUCUCAUCUCUGUACCCUCAUCGAUUGGUAAACUCAGCAUGUUACAGAAACUUGGCCUCCAUAGUAAUAAAAUUGCGCGCUUGCCAUCACUAUUUGGAAACCUCAGCAGUCUCCAGUGGUUAAACUUGGCUGAUAAUAAACUUCAAGAACUCCCAGAAGAUGUUAAUCGUUUACAGUCUUUGGUCUUAUUGAAUCUGGACAAGAACUGUUUUACACACAUCCCUACUUUACUAACAGACAUGGCGAAUUUGCAAAUUCUGCUUCUUAAAUUUAAUGGCAUCAGAUCACUGGAGGAUUACUUAAUCCCUGGUUUUAGCAGACUUAUUAAACUUGAUCUCAGAGAAAAUCCUUUAAUGGACAGACCACAUCAUUGGAAGGGAUUGGAUUUCAUAUUGCUAGGCAAAGUGUGAUGUAACGACCCAGAAGCAGAUUAUAACUAACAUCAACAUCCAGUAUCAUUAAGCAUACUUUCAUCAGUGUCAUUUUCAGCGUUCAUUUAUGUAUAUAAAGUA